AGCGAUUCGGGCCAAACAACCAAUGACCAAGGGAAAACUGGGACAAAAGAGAGGCUCACACGAAUAUAUUGUUGAAACUGUAUAGUCAAAUCCUACGUGUGCAAAUGAUCUGGGAGUCCAAAUUGAAGCCAUGAAAGACAGAGGGAAGUCCAGGACUAGGACACAAGAGACCAGUCAGAACAGUUCUGAGAACAGCCUGACAGACAUCCUCAGUGUCCGGUGUGCCAGUGAUAUUGUCCUACAGCCAAUGCCACCAGGGAGAAAGAAUAGCCGAUCCCACUUCCACAACAUGGAUGUGACUAAAGAGAGGGCUGACAUGGGAAGGCUUCCAAUGGCCACUUCACCCAUCAGCCUCCCAAUGCUCACUGUGACCUCUCUCAAUGCCCAAAGGAACAAAAACACUCUCAAGGUGCCUCACAUCCCUCGUCUGCAGCUGGAGGGACAGGUGGGUAGCAAGCGUCUGGGUCCGGUUAAAUCCAAAACCGGAGGGAGCACAUUUACCUCCAGCCACAAGAAGGAGCCAGAGGUUAAAUCCAGCAGACCACAGACACCAGGAAGCAUCCCUAGGACGCCCAAUGUAUGCUCCACUGCAGCCAAGGCAGUGGCUCCUUUAUCUGGGACUCCAUGCAGCCAGUCUAAGGUCAGGAUCCAGGCCAAUCAUCUCAAGAGGUCUAACAUCCAGGAACAAAGGCCCUGCUCUCCUCCUGCUCAGGCCAGACGGUCUCUGUCCGACGGCAGCCUCUUGCAGCCGCCAUGUUCUCCUGUGGAUGUCCUCCAGCCGGAGGUCCAGGCCAGCAGAAGCCUGGCUCGACCCAAGACCGUGAUAGCUAGGAUAACAAGACAUUCUGAUGGCAGCACUCUGAGGUUCCCUAACCAGACUUUAGAGCUUAUGAACUCCAUGGGUAGGAGGGAGAGCACCAAUUCUUUCCCUGUGCUGCCAACAAUUGCAGUGUCAGCCUCACUUGCCCAGAUGGCCAUCCCAUUGCCUACCCCAAUGGUCAGCUAUGUACCUGACCUUCUGGUGCCUACUCCAUCUGCUUCUCCGGUUCCUUCCAGCCGAGUGCCUGCCCCACCUGCCUCCCCAGUGCCAGCCCGGCCUGCCAACGCCAGAUCACGGCGUGUGUCGAAGAGGAUCCAGCUCUUACAGAUCCGGUCUGCUAUGCUGGACCAGCAGCUACCAGAACAACUGGGUGACAAACAAAUCAUAUUACCCUCUGAGCCCCUGUCCUUCAGUAGCACUGAGAGGAUGUUCCUCUGUGGUCCACCUUUAGUCUGCCACCCAGCUAACGUAGGCGGAGAUGAUGGCUGUCACCCCCUGCCCAGACCUACGCCCAGCCACACAGGUCGCACCAACCACUCCCCCUUAUUGACCAGUAGGAGAGCCAUGCAGGCGGGUGAGAAGUGCCCCGUUGAAAUCCUCUUGACCCCCUUGGUCCCACUGGCAGAACAGCCUCCUAUCAAGCGGGGGCACAUGCCCGCCUCCCGUGCCAAGACCGAGCGGGAAUGGGAGAAUAGCCAACGAGGGCGCAGGAAGAGAGUGAAGCCCAUUCACUGGGACGUUAACUUUAAGUCUGGGCCUUUCUUCCCAGUGUGUGUCUCUCCAUCACUGCCCUCGAUCUUGGAGGUGGAUGAAGAGUCUCUUUCUGAAGAGAUGGAGCAAAGACAGUUGUAAGGGGUCACACACACACACACACACACAUAAACAUCUUCAUUUAUUUUUUUACCUUUAUUUAAAUGUUGUAGUUAGUUAAGAACAAAUUCUUAUUUACAAUGACGACCUACCCCGGCCAAACCCUAACCCGGACGACACUGGGCCAAUUGUGAGCCGCCCUAUGGGACCAGUGCCUUAUACCGCUGCGCCAAUCAGGAGCCCUAUUGAGACCUCAUGGCCUCCCAUGGACCAGAGAGGAUCAGCCAGCAUCAUCCCAGCGUCUGCCCUGCCUGCCAUCCUAGUACCUCCACUGCCCUUUCAACCCCAAACCACAAAGGGCAGGUGACAGAAAUGAUCCAGCGCCCACCGAUCCAGGCUGUUCUGCAUGAGCAGCAGCAGCUACUGUCGGAAGUACUGUUGGAACAGACUUUUCCUAUGAGACCCAACAGGAGCCACAAGCUGUCAAAGUACUUUCAUCCCUGGGGAGUGCAGCUUCUCGAACAGUGUUCUCUUCCUGAAGAUGGACUGCUUCAACCCCUUAGGAGUAUCCAGAGUAUCUAGUACGCUGGUGUGAUGAUAGAAUAUGUCCCUCAGUAUCAACUAGAGAUUAAUAUUAAUCCACUUGUUAUUCUAGUUAGGCAAAUGUUAUUUUAUCAUCACCAUGUUCCAAAGAAUUCUGUUUCUAUAAAGUUUUAUUGCAGUUGAAAAUGAUCUGUGGUGUGUGUUGUUGGUUUCUUGUGAGCUAUGAAGUAUACCCUUUUAGUAGAAUGUUUAUUUCUUCAUUGGAUUGGUUGAUUUGUUGACCAAAG
ensembl:lncRNA